rnacentral:rRNA from 1 species
AGAAUCAACGCUGGCGGCGUGCCUCAGACAUGCAAGUCGAACGCGAAAGCCCCCUUCGGGGGACAAGUAGAGUGGCGCACGGGUGAGUAACACGUAGGUAAUCUACCUUUGGAUGGGGAAUAACAACCGGAAACGGUUGCUAAUACCGCAUGAUGCAGCGGCACCUAAUGGUGACAGUUGUUAAAGCGGGGGAUCGAAAGACCUCGCGUCUGGAGAGGAGCCUGCGGCGGAUUAGCUAGUUGGUAAGGUAAUGGCUUACCAAGGCUACGAUCC